UACCAUCGCAUGGCACCGUACCCGCGGCCACCAUGAUGGGUUCCCCCGGAGGGGGGAGGGGGGAGUAGAGUGCAGUCUCGGGAGUACCCCCCCGGCCUGUGAGGGGCGAUGGGGGUAUGUGACAAGUGGGGCGGGGCCGAGAGCCAUGGGAACGGAGCGAGGCCGGUGGAGUAAUUGGAAAUGAGCGACACCUGCGCCACUCACCGGUCUCGAGUCCCACGGAGGAGCUCCAGAAGGAUAAAGGGAGGAGUUACGACAGUGAAGGACGAGAGAGGACCAGGCCUGGGUUUUAUUUUGUGUUUUGGUUUUGUUUGUGCGCGGCAGUCGUCCACGAGGGGCUGUCGUGCUGUUUUGUGUUUAUUUUAUUAUUAAAGUUUUAUUUAAAUGUCCACCGGUUCACGCCUCCUUCUACCCGUGAUUACGUACGUUUUUAUUUUGUUACAGUCAAGUUUAGGCUAACAAAUCAGGACAUGAUUUUUGACAGGAAUAUAUAUUAAUUGGCAAAUUCACCCUUACCGGUUGCAAAACUAAUAGAAAAUAUGUAAGUGUCAAUCAUAUUUAAACCAGCCUCUAUCAUAUUUUAAAAAUAUAUAUAUAUAUGUAUUUGAUUAUAUUUAUAUGGUAUAAUAGCACAAAGGAAAAAAUAUCUGAUCAAAUUAUGGAAUUUCAAGGUAAACAGGAAGUCUGUCAACCAUAGCCUAAUUUGUUUAGAUGGAAAUGUGAAACAUGCUGUUGCCACAUUAUCAUUAACUGUUUGCUUUUGCUCAUCAGGAAACACUAUUUAAAUGAACAUAGCUGGCCAUCGACAAGAAGUCACACCUGAAAUUAAAAAUUGUGAUAAAGAGAAAGACCUAGAAGACGAUACAACCUGGCACAUAUUAACACCUGUACAAGAAAUUUAAAAACCUAAGGAAUCCGUGAAGAUGACAUCACAGUUUGUUUUAGAAAAAUUACAAAAAAUUCUGAAAGGAGAUGGUGUUAAGGCAAUACCAUCUACUGUUUUUUUAAUUGUAUUGAAGAAGCUGAUUGAAAUUGAAUUUCAUUCAUGCCCAUGCAAAGUUGAGCUAAAUGCCCUGGUAAUAUCGUUUAUGUUCAUUGGACCUGCUUUUUUUAUUUUCAUUUUACUGUAUCUUAUACUUAGGUUUCUUAAAUAUAGAUGCAGUUUUUGUAGAGAAGCAAAUGAUGAUACUCAGAGGUACUGUCCUAAAGCUGUAGCAGUUUGUCUGAUUUCACCUGUUAUAUGGGUUGUUAUUUUGUUAAUUGAUGGUGAAUAUAUUGCUUGUGGCAUGACAUAUUGGAAUGGAGUUUAUGUGUUUGAUGAUGAUCUCCAAAAGUUGUGGUGUAAACCUACUGAAGAGAUACGAAAUAAGACUGUGACUGAGCUACGGAAUCUGACUAGCACAUAUAUACAUCACUCUCAGGUUUCAGGUUAUGCUUUGAUAACUGUUCUUAGUGUCUUGCUGUUUGUUUCUGUGGGAGUCUAUGACUGCUGCAUCAGUGGGAAAUGUCAACUGUUAUGCUGCAGACAAACAGCAGAGACACGGCGUGGGAGACAAGAUAAUGUUGAAACAGUUACUGUAGGGCUUGAUGCUCCCUGCGACAGACCCUCCAACACUGUACAAAAUCAGACUCCCUCACAAGCUUCUCCUCGUCCUCAUGAGGUAACGAAUGUUUGA
ensembl:lncRNA